GACGAACGCUGGCGGCGUGCUUUAUACAUGCAAGUCGAACGAGAAGCUGACUUCGGUCAGUGGAAAGUGGCGGACGGGUGAGUAAAAUGUAGAGAAUCUGCCCUUGAGCGGGGGAUAACAGUCGGAAACGAUUGCUAAUACCCCAUAUGAGGUGAGUUGAAAUACUUAUCUUGAAAACUCCGGUGCUCAAGGAUGAGUCUGCAUCUGAUUAGCUAGUUGGUGGGGUAACGGCCCACCAAGGCGACGAUCAGUAGCCGGUCUGAGAGGAUGAACGGCCGCAUUGGGACUGAGAUACGGCCCAG
rnacentral:rRNA from 1 species